CUUGUAAAGUAUGAUAGUAAGAGGUUUUGGUCUUAUCCUGCUCAAAAGAUCAAGUGAUAGUGAUUAAAUCGGUAUUUCGAGAAGAAGAAGAACAUGACUAGAGUAGGAAAAGAGAUUGAAUCAGGCUAAUUAUCUGUCAUCGAAGUUUGCUUUGCUUUUCUUUUCUUUUAUUUAGUUGUGCAAUUUUCAUCACAUUUACUUGAGUUUUAUUUGCCAAUUAAUUCACCUCCCCUCCAAGAGACUAAUAAAUUAAGUUGGAUGAUUCUAAUACGUUGAGUGGGCUGUAGACCACAAUAAACCUAAUGGCAACAGACCUAACAAUAGACCUAACGUAUAAGUAGGUUGAGUCAGAUUGAAACUUGUGAGAGGUGUGACAGAGCCCUUAAAUACGAUUGGCACGUCCUUCCUAUUAGGGCGUGUCUUUGUGAUAGUUGGUUAGCACUUGCAAUGUCACAACCCGACCAACUAACAAUAAUAAUUUAUUGGGUUCAAAUCAUCGGCCCAAAAUGCUUAAAUUCAGUUAUUAUUACUAGUGUGUCUGUCAUUUAUAAACCUAUCACACUUUCCCACUUUAGCUCAGUUAUUAUUAUUAGUGUGUUCAUCACUUAUAAACCUAUCACACUCUUUCACAUUAUUGGAUGUGGGAUUAAUGGUUAGCGCCAGCGAUCUGACAUUUGGUAUCAGAGCCUAUCGCUAUCCGGAAGUGUGAGAUGAGUGUUGACCGAGCCAUGGUCUGGGAACGACAAUGCUAGAGAGAUAAAUCUUACAUCGCCUAGUGAAUCUGGGGUUAUGUGUUUUAUUGGGUUGGGCUGACGAGGAUGAUAGGGCUUAAACGAUGGAGUAUGUGACACUCCAAUAAUCCCACAUCGGAUAAUGUGGGAGAGUGUGAUAUGCUUAUAAGUGAUGGACAAAUUAAUAAUAAUAAUGAGGUUUAAAUAUUUUCGGCUGGUGGUUUAGGUCUAACGAUUUAUUAUUACUAGUGGGUUAAGUUGUGAUAUUCAAUUUGCCUAAUUUUUGAAAAAAUAAUUUUGAUUUGAAGAAUUGCUUUUGAUUAAAAAGUUUAGAGUGUUUGGCUGAAUCUGGUAGAAAAGUAAUUUUUCUGAAGCGAUUUAAAAUUUAAAAUUAGAAUUAUAUUUUACAGAAUAGAUUAUCAAAUACGUACUCUAUUGAAGGAAAAAGACCUUUUGCCCGAAAAUUACUUUCUAAAAGGUAGACCGAACAACCUCUGCUCCCAAACAUCCAAGAGUUCAGAAACAAACUUCUUUUGGAUUUUUCUUUAAUAUAUAUAUAUAUACAAAGGAUAUAUAACGAUUGUGAGAAUAUUGAUUUUUGGUUGAGUAGGAUGUACAAUUUAUAUCAUUUUUUCUUUUUCUUUCUUUUGUUUUUUUAUUUGUGUGUGUACAGCCAGCAUUGCUCUUAAUUCUUAUACAUAAAAUCGAAGCCUUGAAAUUGACUGUAAUUGAGAUCAUGAUGUGAAGAUACUGAGUCCUAAUAUAUCUGUUCACAUGUAAGGACAUUAAGCAAACGCACUGAUUGAAGAGAUAAUGAAAGAAAAAAACGAAGCAAUAAUAAAUUAAAAAUAGGAAUAAUUUCAUCAAUACCCCUCUAGAAAAUCAUAAUUUCAUGAAUAACCCUCUAAACUAGAAAAUAUCAUCAAUACCCCUCUUAAAACUAAAAAUGUUCACAGAUACCCUUUAGGAUAACUUUCCGUCAAGUGGUCAUCCAAUAUUUUAUAAAUACCAAUUUUACCCCUAGCAAUAAUUUAAACAUGUAAUAUUUAAGAUUAAUUAUCUGAUUAAUUUUUAACAUUUGAAUCACAUUGUAAUUUAACAUUAUUUUUAAAAUAUUACAAUUAAAGAUCUAUAGUCUAUUAAGUGUAAUAGUUAAAUCUCAUUAUGAUUUUUCGCUUUUAAAUUAUACAUAGUUAUAAUACAAUUUGUCCAUAGUAGAAUUCAACAUUAACUAUUUAAAGAAAUAUGUAAUUUUUUGGAGUUGUUUUACGAGGAUCCAAACGCCCCCAGAUAAACUCAAAAUAAAGAAAAACUGAUAGUUUAAGUUAAAAAAUAAAACUUAAAGGGGUCUAGUUCAAAAUGAUCUAUAGGUGAGAAGUUCAUUUAUUUUUUUACCCGCUAAUAAUUAGUGUUAGAGAUAUUAUUUUUAAAAUUUAGAAGGGUACUUAUGAAAUUGCCCCUUAAUUAUUUGCUAUCAAAAUAACACCUAACCCUUUUAGGGUUAAAUUAGUCAUUUUGUAACUCAACCUUUAUUUAACCAAAUUUUAACCAUGGUUAUAGUAACAGCCGUUAGAAGGAAGGGUAGUUGUGAAAAUUUUUUGCAUUUGAAGGGGUAUAUAAGAUAUUUUCAACUUUGCAGGGGUAUCUAUGAUAUUUACAUAUUUGAGAGGGGUAGUGGUGAAAUUGCCCCUAUAUAUAUAUAUAUAUAUAUAGUCCGGCCGGGGUACUAUCGAUAGCACUAAGGAUUUGGUGCUAUUAAAUUUUUCACCGUUAGAUUUAAUCCUUUGAUUAUUUUUAUCCGUUAGAUUAUACUAUUCAACCAACCACUCACUCAACUCUUAGGGGUCCACAUCAUCCUAACCACCCAUUUUACAAUCCAAGGACUAAAAAAUCGAUAGCACCAAUAGCUUGGUGCUAUUGAUAGUAUUCCAGCCUAAUUCUAUAUAUAUAUACACGUGAAAUAUGAAACAACCGUAAUACUCUUAUUAGGCCCUGUUUGGUUCGGAAAAUAAGGGAUAACGAAAGUUAUCCCCGCUAUUCCGUGCUAUUCCGUCAAACGGUAUGAUUUUUUCACCGGAAUAUUUUAUUCUGAUCAAAUUUUGCUGUUCUCGCUUCCAGAAUAGCUUGAGAUUUACUAUUCUAUCAUUUUGGUGGAAUGGUGCUAUUUCAAUGUUUAAUUCCAAAGUUGAUUAAAAUUAUAAAUUGAAUUAAAACUAAAUUAUAUAAAUAUAAUAUGUUAUAUAUUAUAAUAUAUUAUUUUUAUUAUAAAAUUAUUAAUUGUACUAUAUUAAUACAUAUUUUUUUUAUUUAAAUAUUAUAAUAAAUUUUAUAAUAUAUUAUAUUUAAAUAUUGUAAUAAAUUAUUUUUAUUAAAUUUAAGUUUAAGUAGAAUUUCAAAAUAAUUUAUAAAAUUAUUANUAUU
rnacentral:lncRNA from 1 species